rnacentral:rRNA from 1 species
AUACGGAGGAUCCGAGCGUUAUCCGGAUUUAUUGGGUUUAAAGGGAGCGUAGGCGGGAAGUCAAGUCAGCUGUGAAAUGUAGUCGCUCAACGUCUGCACUGCAGUUGAAACUGGUUUUCUUGAGUGCGUAAGGGGCAGGCGGAAUUCGUCGUGUAGCGGUGAAAUGCUUAGAUAUGACGAAGAACUCCGAUCGCGAAGGCAGCCUGCCGGGCCGCAACUGACGCUGAAGCUCGAAGGUGCGGGUAUCGAACAGGAUUAGAUACCCUGGUAGUCCGCACAGUAAACGAUGGAUACUCGCUGUCGGCGAUAAACGGUCGGUGGCCAAGCGAAAGCGUUAAGUAUCCCACCUGGGGAGUACGCCGGCAACGGUGAAACUCAAAGGAAUUGACGGGGG